ensembl:lncRNA LINC02550 long intergenic non-protein coding RNA 2550
GCACUGGGAGAACGGGGUGGGGCCUCCAGAAGUUCACGCCAUUUGCAGCGGGGAGGAGCCUGUUCCUGUGUGGCGACCUGGGCUUCAAUCUGUGAGGCGGGAAACCUGCUAGCAGGACUCUUGCUUUGUGGUCUCCUGUGAGAAGAACAUACCCCAGGUAGCCUCUUCUUUGAGAAGCACAAGGAAACACGUGGUGGUGGAACUGAACACAACCCACAGCCUGGAGCUAAACCCAACCUAAGCCAGCCAAGCUCUUCCAAGAUCACCCAAACUCAAGUUGACCUGUAGAUCCAUGGGCAAGGAAAGAAAUGCCUGCUGUUUUAAGAUCUCAAGUUUUAGGUUGAUUUGUUAUGCAGCAUUAUUGCAGUAAAAAUGAACUAAUACACUACCUAAUCCCAUUUUUCUAUUCAACAGUUAUUUGUUGGGUAGCUGAUAUGUGCCACACACUUAUAAUACAGGCUUCAGGGAUACCAUGGUUAAUAAAAUAAAGAGGGCAAAAGUAAAUGAA